GAUGAACGCUGGCGGCGUGCCUAAUACAUGCAAGUCGAGCGAACGGACGAGAAGCUUGCUUCUCUGAUGUUAGCGGCGGACGGGUGAGUAACACGUGGAUAACCUACCUAUAAGACUGGGAUAACUUCGGGAAACCGGAGCUAAUACCGGAUAAUAUUUUGAACCGCAUGGUUCAAAAGUGAAAGACGGUCUUGCUGUCACUUAUAGAUGGAUCCGCGCUGCAUUAGCUAGUUGGUAAGGUAACGGCUUACCAAGGCAACGAUGCAUAGCCGACCUGAGAGGGUGAUCGGCCACACUGGAACUGAGACACGGUCCAGACUCCUAUGGGAGGCAGCAGUAGGGAAUCUUCCGCAAUGGGCGAAAGCCUGACGGAGCAACGCCGCGUGAGUGAUGAAGGUCUUCGGAUCGUAAAACUCUGUUAUUAGGGAAGAACAGAUGUGUAAGUAACUGUGCACAUCUUGACGGUACCUAAUCAGAAAGCCACGGCUAACUACGUG
rnacentral:rRNA from 1 species